ensembl:snoRNA predicted gene, 23965
AGUGGCUUAAAAGAUAUAUUGACCAUGUCCCCAAAGAUAUUGUAUUGGUGGCUGCUGUGUCAUGUGUGCAUCAGUGGGUACCAGAGAGUAAAGAGGCUAUGCCUAUGCCCAGUGUUCUGACCUGUGAACAUCUGAAUGUUUAGUAGUCUAAUACU